GCGAGGGGCGCACUCCGAGCCACACACACUCUGAGUGAGGCUCGGCACAGGCAUCGCACACACAGUAAUCAUGUCCAGUGGAGAUAAAUCCAAGACUUCUUCCCAGACUGACGGAAAGGCUGCCCAGAGCAAGAAGUCAGAGAUGGGAAUGAUGUCCUACAAGAUGUACGUGUUCGACCAGGAGAACUUCCAGGGUCGCAUGAUCGAAAUCAGCAAUGAGUGCAUGAAUGUGUGUGAGAUGGGCAUGGACCGCGUGCGCUCCCUGCGUGUUGAAUGUGGACCCUUCGUGGGCUUCGAGCAGAUGAACUUCUGCGGUGAGAUGUACAUCCUGGAGAAGGGAGAGUAUCCCCGCUGGGACUCCUGGAGCAACUGCCAGAAGAACGACUACCUGCUGUCCUUCAGGCCCGUCAGAAUGGACCCCGAGAAGCACAAGAUCUGCCUGUAUGAGGUUGGAGAGUACAAGGGCCGCAAGAUGGAGAUCAUGGACGAUGACGUCCCCAGCCUGUUCUCCUAUGGCUUCACCGACAGAGUGGGCAGCAUCAUUGUCAGCUGUGGAACCUUUGUGGGAUACCAGUUCCCUGGAUACCGUGGCAGCCAGUACCUGCUGGAGAAGGGCGAAUACAGGCACUUCAAUGAAUAUGGCGCCCGCCAUCCUCAGUUCCAGUCUGUGAGGCGUAUCCGUGACAUGCAGUGGCACCAACAGGGCUGCUACACCAUGGCCAGCAAGUGAGGCUCAGGGAAGGAGAGAAAGAGAAAGAGCGGAGGUGAGGGAGAGGGGCGGAGGAAGCGGGAAAGGGGGAGAGACGUCUGAGGCCUUUACCUUAGUGCCUUAAAAAGGUCUUUGAUCUAAUGCAGUGAGGGGAAGGGUGAGGAUCUAUGUCUGCCCCUGACUGGAGAAAACACCUCAGUGGAAGGGCCAGCUGGACCACAAAACCAUCAGACCACCCUCCACUCCUCUCUGUUUCUACUCUUCUCUUUCUCCCCUAUGGGCUGAGCUUUGCUUUCCUCCCUUUUCUUCUUUUAUUUUUAUUUUUAGUCCCUCGCUUCAUUCCCCUCCACAGACCUCUGAGACACAGUAGAGGGAACAGAGUGUCUUUUACUGUUUUACACACACGAUUCUCAGCUCAGGGUAUGAUGCACCAUGGGAAACUGAGUCCUUAGAGCCCCCUGCUCCCUCGUCUUCCUGCCCCUGUGCAUUGCACACCCUCUCUGCUGUACAGAAUCCUGGCCAAGUUUUCAAUAAAAAGGAAAAUCUUGAUUUCAAA